rnacentral:rRNA from 1 species
GACGAACGCUGGCGGCGUGCUUAACACAUGCAAGUCGAACGGAAAGGCCCUGCUUUUGUGGGGUGCUCGAGUGGCGAACGGGUGAGUAACACGUGAGUAACCUGCCCUUGACUUUGGGAUAACUUCAGGAAACUGGGGCUAAUACCGGAUAGGAGCUCCUGCUGCAUGGUGGGGGUUGGAAAGUUUCGGCGGUUGGGGAUGGACUCGCGGCUUAUCAGCUUGUUGGUGGGGUAGUGGCUUACCAAGGCUUUGACGGGUAGCCGGGCUGAGAGGGUGACCGGCCACAUUGGGACUGAGAUACGGCCCAGACUCCUACGGGAGGCAGCAGUGGGGAAUAUUGCACAAUGGGCGGAAGCCUGAUGCAGCAACGCCGCGUGCGGGAUGACGGCCUUCGGGUUGUAAAACGCUUUCGCCUGUGACGAAGCGUGAGUGACGGUAAUGGGUAAAGAAGCACCGGCUAACUACGUG